GCGGCAAUAACUCAGUUGGUAGAGUCUCAGCUUUCCAAGCUGUUGGUCACGGGUUCGAGUCCCGUUUGCCGCUCCA
rnacentral:tRNA from 1 species